rnacentral:rRNA from 1 species
AGUGAACGCUGGCGGUAGGCCUAACACAUGCAAGUCGAACGGCAGCACAGUAAGAGCUUGCUCUUACGGGUGGCGAGUGGCGGACGGGUGAGGAAUACAUCGGAAUCUACUUUUUCGUGGGGGAUAACGUAGGGAAACUUACGCUAAUACCGCAUACGACCUACGGGUGAAAGCAGGGGAGCUUCGGACCUUGCGCGAUUGAAUGAGCCGAUGUCGGAUUAGCUAGUUGGCGGGGUAAAGGCCCACCAAGGCGACGAUCCGUAGCUGGUCUGAGAGGAUGAUCAGCCACACUGGAACUGAGACACGGUCCAGACUCCUACGGGAGGCAGCAGUGGGGAAUAUUGGACAAUGGGCGCAAGCCUGAUCCAACCAUACCGCGUGGGUGAAGAAGGCCUUCGGGUUGUAAAGCCCUUUUGUUGGGAAAGAAAAGCAGCAGGUUAAUACCCCGCUGUUCUGACGGUACCCAAAGAAUAAGUACCGGCUAACUUCGUG